GGGUUGUGAGGUUAAGUGACUAAGCGUACACGGUGGAUGCCUAGGCAGUCAGAGGCGAUGAAGGGCGUGCUAAUCUGCGAAAAGCGUCGGUAAGGUGAUAUGAACCGUUACAACCGGCG
rnacentral:rRNA from 1 species